rnacentral:rRNA from 1 species
AGCAGUAGCCGCGGGAAUACGUAUGUCACAAGCGUUAUCCGGAUUUAUUGGGCGUAAAGCGCGUCUAGGUGGUUACGUAAGUCUGAUGUGAAAAUGCAGGGCUCAACUCUGUAUUGCGUUGGAAACUGUGUAACUAGAGUACUGGAGAGGUAAGCGGAACUACAAGUGUAGAGGUGAAAUUCGUAGAUAUUUGUAGGAAUGCCGAUGGGGAAGCCAGCUUACUGGACAGAUACUGACGCUGAAGCGCGAAAGCGUGGGUAGCAAACAGGAUUAGAUACCCCGGUAGUCCCUGUCUCUUAUACA